CUCCUUUCUGCAAGGCUCGAGAGAACUCUUAAUGUGUUUGCUCCUUGUGCAACUGCCUAUAAUUCUGGUUUCAGGGCUGCUUGAGUUUUCUACAUGGUCUCCCAUCCAACUGGGCAUCAGGGCAGAGAGAACUAUGAACCCGGGGCAAAACUGUUCUUCUCGCUGCUGUUGUUGCCCUCUACUGAACUCUGAAAUGCCUGCCUGCCUGUUGACUAUUAGGGUCCAUGAACGUAGUAGCACUUGGGAAGGAUAGAGGCCACAGGAAGCCUGAAAGCCACAUACUUGAAAUCCCUCAUCUAGAGGCUUCUAAAAGCAAAAUGGAAAUCUGUUUUUAAAUUGGUUUGGGAGAAGAAGAAGAAGAAGAAUGAAGAGGAGGAUUAGAGUUAGUGAUACCACUGCUUGGCAUCUCCCCCUUCAUUUUUAUGGCUUACGGGAUGGCCUGUACUACUCAGACAUUACAAGUAGGAGGAAAAAAUAUGGGUUCUUCCUUGCCCUGAGAAUCAGAGAAGCAUUGCUGACAGCACCAAACGAUGAAAACUUGAAGGAAAAAUUUAUGUCCUAUAAAUUCUCUGAGCACAUUAAAUCAAUUCAAGUUACAAGUAUGGAACUGAGGGGGAAAGCUCGGGCCAAAAUGACUAGACACAACAAGGGGAAUUAAAAAAAAAGUGACAAGGUGAAGAUUCUGCUUGCUUCUUCAUUAACUGUGUUUUUAAGGAUGUGUGCUGACUUGCAAGAACCUUUGCUACAGCAAUUUAGGAAUGGGGCAUAAAGGAAAACAAUAUCUAAGUACUGAGUAUGAUGAGAAAACUCCCUUAGGAUAGAGCAUUGAAUUGCCAUCCUCUGCUACUCAAGUCAGCAAAUCUAAACACCGUAAGUCAAGAAGAGGCAAGCAUCCUUGAUAAAGAUGGAAUAAUAAGAAAAAAAAGCAAGGUCGCCCUUGACACCAGUGAAAAUACUUUUUAAAGCCUCUUUUCUGAUAGGUCUCCUUUCUGGCAAUUUCUUCAUUGAGUUGUUUUCUGCAGAAGCACCAUCUGAGUGAAUAUAAAUGAGGGAGAAGAUGGGGUGAAUGGCUACAUCAUACUGAAUUCUUGCUCCACCCAAAUACUUCCUCAGCCCUUGAACUGUUCCAAAUUCAGAUUGUUUCUCCUUCCACUAACAAUAGAAACUCUUUUCAGCUGUUCCAAUUUACACAAUUCCCCACCCUCAGAGAGGUACUUUGAGGCAAAGCUUCAGAUGGAAUCAGUAUGGCAGACCUACUUUCUGCUCUUCCUUCCAAGUCAAUCAUUUCCAUUUCCUAAGCUCAGAAGGUCAGGCUUAAGAACCUUUUUACUGCCUUGAUGAUAACAUUCCUCCCCCUCCCCCCCAUUUCCUGGGUUACCCAAAUUGGGCCAUUUUAAUGCCCAACAACCAAUUUGGUUGACUUUAUCCCUUUCAAAUGAGGUUAUUAUUUUUUGGUGACCCACAACCCUGAAUGUGGUGGUUUAAAGACUGGUUCUGAAAAAAAAAAAAAAAGAUGUAGAGUAGCUAGGUAGCUCACUGGAUCCAAAAUGCAGCCUAAAAUUAGAAGGACCUGGGUUCAAAUUUGGCUUCAGAUGCUUCCUAGCUGUGUGACCUUUGACAAAUCACAUAACCCUGAUUGCCUAGCCCUUGAUGCUCUU
rnacentral:lncRNA from 1 species